rnacentral:rRNA from 1 species
GACGAACGCUGGCGGCGUGCUUAACACAUGCAAGUCGAACGGAAAGGCCCUGCUUUUGUGGGGUGCUCGAGUGGCGAACGGGUGAGUAACACGUGAGUAACCUGCCCUUGACUUUGGGAUAACUUCAGGAAACUGGGGCUAAUACCGGAUAGGAGCUCCUGCUGCAUGGUGGGGGUUGGAAAGUUUCGGCGGUUGGGGAUGGACUCGCGGCUUAUCAGCUUGUUGGUGGGGUAGUGGCUUACCAAGGCUUUGACGGGUAGCCGGCCUGAGAGGGUGACCGGCACCUUGGGGACUGGGAUACGGCCCAAACUCCUGGGGGGGGCAGGGGGGGGGAAUUUUGCACAAGGGGGGGAAGCCGGAGGCAGAAACGCCGGGGGGGGGAUGGCGGCCUUGGGGUUGAAACCCGCUUUCGCCUGGGACGAAGGGGGAGGGAGGGUAAGGGGUAAAGAAGCACCGGCUAACUCCGU